GGCGGAGGGACAGAGGGAGGGAGGGGAUGGCAAGGAGAACAAGCCGAAGCAAGUGUGCUUAAGUAGGGGAGGAAGAGAUUUCACAGUUGGAAAGGAGGGAGAUAAGACAUCUGCUGUGGUACCUUGAUUCUUGCCUACCAUCAACUGAUGAGGAAAGAGGAAUAAGGCUUCUGUCAUGGCAUGAAAAAAACAUACCCGUUCAGAAAAACCUUGUUUUCUGGAAAACUACAAUGUUUCAGUGAUUAAACAGACAGGCACAGCCAGGAGGGAACACGCAUAGCAUGUGGAGGACGCAUGCAAGACAACAACACUCCGCAAGUGGAGCAGCAAGGCUUUGCAUGUUGUUGUUGCCCCCUCCUCGCCCACACAGCUUUGAAGAGUAACGGAUGAUGAUGGCAGAUAAGAAGAGAAUGGCAGCACGCACGUGUCUCUGGACAUUUCUUUUCCUGUCUGACUCUGUGGCAUGAGAUCGCCGCAUCUAUGUAUGGGCAAGCACAAUCUUCAAAUAAAAUGCUGUCAAUCAA